UACGGAGGAUGCAAGCGUUGUCCGGAAUGAUUGGGCGUAAAGCGUCCGCAGGUGGCAAUGUAAGUCUGCUGUCAAAGCGUCUGGCUCAACCAGAUAAAGGCAGUGGAAACUACAUAGCUAGAGUAAGGUAGGGGUAGAGGGAAUUCCUGGUGUAGUGGUGAAAUGCGUAGAGAUCAGGAAGAACACCGGUGGCGAAAGCGCUCUGCUGGACCUUAACUGACACUGAGGGACGAAAGCUAGGGGAGCGAAUGGG
rnacentral:rRNA from 1 species